rnacentral:lncRNA from 1 species
GCUAUGAUUUUCAAAUUCGAUCUGGUAUGUGUUCAGAUUAAAAAUAUUUUAAUUUAUUUACUUCUACUAUUUUAUGUUUAGAAAAAAAUUUUGAACUACAUGUAUGAAAUCAUAGUAAUUUUCUAACAAAUCCUUCAUGACUAGGGUUUCUAGUGGAUACUACGAUCCCACUAAUUUGAGUACUACCUCAUCUAAUAAUUAUUGAUGAUACGUAAAUCAAUAAGUGGACAACUCUUAUCCAAUGCUUCUUAAGCAUGUCCCACCAUAUUCCAUCUCUAAGUCAUGUAGGCCUCAUCUAAUAGUUAUAAUCCUCAUUCCUUAAUUAAGUCAAGCCCACCAUUCAAUACGUAGGCAAAGCCAUCAUUAGGUCCCUCAUCUGAUAGUUAUUAGAUCCAACCCCAUCUUUAUCCUAUAGCAUCUCAUGCUAAUAGAGUGGUUGUAUCUUUUCGAUGUAAAUAAAUCACUGUGACCAGCCGAGAAUAGUCAAUGCUAGAAGGAUGUCUGCACAUUUAUAAUGGUGGAAGAUCGCUCGACUUAAUAUAUAUUUUGAGAAGUUUUAAUUCAGAUUUCAAAUCAUAGUUAUUUAUAUCUAAUGCAAAUAAAAAUCCACCAAACAUAAGCAAUAAAAUCAAUGAUAAUCAUAGAUUUAAGGGAUUCGAGCUUGAGCCACUGAGCCGAAUUAGGAUCCAUGGGUCGAAGAUACAAGCACAAGCACAUCAAUUGAUUUGAUCAUUUUUAACUCCUUGAAUCGAUCCAAAGCAUGUCCUCGAUCUCAUCACGAUCAACACCUUGGUCCAGCCUCAACCAAUUGCUCGCUCAACCUGUGCAUGUUGUGUGCUUUAGGCUUGCAGUCGAUCAACUAUUAAUGUACAACCAUUCACAUAAUACAACCCAUAAAAAAAUACAUACAACAAAAAUUAAUUACAACCCUUUAUCAUAUGAGACCUGUUGGUCUCCAAAUUACAUAGAUGUAUUGAUGCUCACAGGCAUCUAUAAAAAAAUUUACAUACACAUAAGAUCUAUAAUAUAUCACAGGGAUCAUAAAAAGGAUCACAAUCCUAUGAUUAUCACCAUAUAUAUCUUAUAUAUGAGCAAAAAUAGAUUUGGGUAUUAGAUCAUUUAAUAUAGAUCUGAAAAUUUUAUGUGAUCUAAUCACUAUAAUUUUCUAAUCUUAUCAACUAUUGGCAUUGACUGAUCAAAGCAGCCAAUAAGAUCAGAAUUUUUCAUGCUUCAAAUCUGGUUAAAAGAUCUAUGAUAUCCAAAUCAGCAAUCUGACCUUAAAACAUAUGAGGGUGGCUUUGAUACCAAUAUUAGAUACUGGGAUUUGAUUGAUUUAUGUAGUGAAAGGAUAAAAUAAAAUUUUAAUUAAUCAUGAAACAAAAAUAAAAUUUAGUUUAGAUUAAUUAACGUGAGAUCUUAUCUCGAUCAAUCUCGGAUCUCUUAUAGUUGUUAAGAUUAAGAUUAAAAGAAGAAAAUCAGAUCUUUAUCUUUGCAUGAAUAAUUCUUCACCAUAAUUUGAUGAUCAUAAAUGUCUUCAUGAUUUCUUUUGAAGCCGCAUAUGCAUCCAGUCUCUAAGUUAUCCACAUGUGGUCAUCAUCUGAUCAAGAUAUCUGAUCUCAUCGGGGUGCUAGCUCCCUUAUAGAGAUCCUCUUUGAUGGUGAAUUUAUUUUUCUUUUUUGCUGAUAAUCCUUCUUAAAGAUUUCAGCCUUCUUUAUCCCAGAUCAUGCUCUACAUACAAACAGAUUAGGAUCCUUUCCUUGAUUCUUUCUUGAUUUUUUUCUCAAAGAAAUCGAGCUUCUUAACCUUUCUUGUUUUCUUCUUAAGAAAAUCAGUAUGUAGCUUUUCUUAAUUUUCUUCUCAAAGAAAUCCAGCAGUCCAUGUCUCUAUUGAUUCCCUUCCCAAGGAACUCAAAUGCUCUCUUUUUCUUUUUCCUUUUAGGAUGUGCCCAACUUUUGGGUGUGUAAGAGAGAAAGAGAGAGACAGAGGCAUUGAAGGCCCUUUGGCAUGAUCUCUAGCCUUUUUUUUUCUUACCACACUCCAACCCUUGGGCAUGUUGCUUCUCCAUGAUAGUCCCACCUUAAGAUGAGGUGUGAACCUCCUUUGUAGGAUAAGGGGUUAGGAGGGCAUCCAACCCUAGGGCAUCCAAGAGUCCCUCCACAUCUAAACUCCUUACAUGAGGAGAUGGAGCCAUAGAUGGACUUUUUCAUGCUAAAACCUUUUUCCACGUGAUGAGUCAUGGCGUGUGAGAAAGGAAGGUGUUGGGAUUUCUCUCACAUCAACAACCCAAGGAGGCAUCAAGUCAAAGAGUCCUCCCAAGUUAAAACUCUUUUAACAUGGUGAGGAGGGAGGGCAUGAAACCAAUUUCAUGUAAGAAAGAUCAAUGUGAAGAGAAGAGGAGUAGCACCAUAUCAUUAGGAGUCCUACUUGUUAAUCACCUUUUGACGAAUAGAGUUCCAAGUUGUCUGGACUUUAAUUAAAUCAAAAUCUUUAUCUCAUAAGGAGUCCAAUUGUAUUUGGGUUUGAUCACGUCAACUUCUUGACUUGUUAAACUAAAUCCAACCAUUUGAUCAGAUACAAUCUCUGUGUGAUCUCAUAGGUUCUAUUCUAUCUAGUAGUAAAAAAUAUUGUAAUCUUCAUCAAUAAUAUUAUUGAAAUCCUUUUUAAUAGAUUAAAACAAUUCCAACCCACUCAAUAAAAAAUAUUGUCUAUCAAAAUAGUUCUCAUA